rnacentral:tRNA from 1 species
GCAGUGUCUCAGUGGCUGACCAUCUGCUCAGGAUGCAGAAAGUCCAAGGUUCAAUUCCUGGCAUUUCCA